rnacentral:rRNA from 1 species
UGGCGGACGGGUGAGUAAUGUCUGGGAAACUGCCUGAUGGAGGGGGAUAACUACUGGAAACGGUAGCUAAUACCGCAUAACGUCGCAAGACCAAAGAGGGGGGACCUUCGGGCCUCUUGCCAUCGGAUGUGCCCAGAUGGGAUUAGCUAGUAGGUGGGGUAACGGCUCACCUAGGCGACGAUCCCUAGCUGGUCUGAGAGGAUGACCAGCCACACUGGAACUGAGACACGGUCCAGACUCCUACGGGAGGCAGCAUG